rnacentral:rRNA from 1 species
UACGUAGGGCGCAAGCGUUGUCCGGAAUUAUUGGGCGUAAAGAGCUCGUAGGCGGUCUGUCGCGUCCGUUGUGAAAACUCGAGGCUCAACCUCGGGCUUGCAGUGGAUACGGGCAGACUAGAGUGCGGUAGGGGAGACUGGAAUUCCUGGUGUAGCGGUGGAAUGCGCAGAUAGUCAGGAGGAACACCGAUGGCGAAGGCAGGUCUCUGGGCCGCAACUGACGCUGGAGGAGCGAAAGCAUGGGGAGCGAACAGG